GAACUUCACAGAGUUCAAUGAUUGUAUCAGAAGGUUGUCAGUUGCUGGUGAUCCCUGCUAAGUCUUUAAUAACAGUAUCAGAGAAUCAGGUGAUGUGAUCCCAGGAAGGAAGCACACUGUCAGUAAUAGGCGCUCGGUAUUAAAUUCAGCCCCUACAUUGAAGUACACUGGAUUGAAAGGUAAUGUACGGAUCCAGACACCGUUACAGCAGUAUGAUUGAUCCCAGGGAUGCGGGGGUUAAUACGCUGAGAGUCUAGAACAGCAAAGCGAGAGACGCUCGGAGCUUGGGACAGUCGAAGAAUCAAGUAUUCGCAGUGAGGAACUGACUCAGAGCUUUGCACAGAUUAAACCUGUUCCUGGCAGAGACCGCUAAUGCAUAGAACAUACGUGUAGUUUGGCACGCAGACACCUUACUCGAGGGGUUCUUGGGAGACGAAGAGGAGGGCUAGACAGAGUUCACAUGCUGGCUUCAUAGCAACGACUAAAAGAUAU